UUCUCUGUGUAGCCCUGACUGUCCUGGAAUUCACUCUGUAGACCAAGCUGGCCUCUAACUCAGAGAUCCACCUGCCUCUGCCUCCCGAGUGCUGGGAUUAAAGGCGUGCGCCACCAUUGCCCG
rnacentral:miRNA from 1 species